rnacentral:rRNA from 1 species
CACGUAGGGUGCAAGCGUUGUCCGGAAUUAUUGGGCGUAAAGAGCUCGUAGGCGGUCUGUCGCGUCUGCUGUGAAAACUCAGGGCUUAACCCUGAGCUUGCAGUGGGUACGGGCAGACUAGAGUGCGGUAGGGGAGACUGGAAUUCCUGGUGUAGCGGUGAAAUGCGCAGAUAUCAGGAGGAACACCGGUGGCGAAGGCGGGUCUCUGGGCCGUAACUGACGCUGAGGAGCGAAAGCAUGGGGAGCGAACAGG